CUCAUAGAAAUAAUCCUAACAUAUUCUCAAAUUUUCGAAAUUUUCUGACACUGUGCAUUUUCUGCUAAAAUAUCAGCCCCGUCUAUCACAGAAAAUUCUCAAUCUUCUAUUUUCACUCCGAUUUCCGCACGAGUCAAUCCCGACAUAUAAUUUACUUGCCUAAAUCUAAUAAAAAUAAUAUCUCACACUAUUUUUAUUUAUAUUCACUAUUAUUAAAAAUCCGGUAUGCUACAAACUCGGUAGAGAAUAUUAAACUUUAGCCGAA
rnacentral:lncRNA from 1 species